GACGAACGCUGGCGGCGUGCUUAACACAUGCAAGUCGAACGGAAAGGCCCUGCUUUUGUGGGGUGCUCGAGUGGCGAACGGGUGAGUAACACGUGAGUAACCUGCCCUUGACAUUGGGAUAACUUCAGGAAACUGGGGCUAAUACCGGAUAGGAGCUCCUGCUGCAUGGGGGGGGUUGGAAAGUUUCGGCGGUUGGGGAUGGACUCGCGGCUUAUCAGCUUGUUGGUGGGGUAGUGGCUUACCAAGGCUUUGACGGGUAGCCGGACUGAGAGGGUGACCGGCCACAUUGGGACUGAGAUACGGCCCAGACUCCUACGGGAGGCAGCAGUGGGGAAUAGUGCACAAUGGGCGGAAGCCUGAUGCAGCAACGCCGCGUGCGGGAUGACGGCCUUCGGGUUGUAAACCGCUUUCGCCUGUGACGAAGCGUGAGUGACGGUAAUGUGUAAAGAAGCACCGGCUAACUACGUG
rnacentral:rRNA from 1 species